GCAUCAUUCACGUGAACAAACUCUCAGGCUAGUAAGUGCAGAGGAAGAUGUUUGAUAAUGCAGUGCAGCAAGUGGUAUAGAGUCCUGGCUUCUACAUGUUGAAGAGGUCCUUUGAAGGUCCUGGUCCCUCAGUCCAAUUAGGUUCUCCCUGAACUGGAAUAUGCUUCCAUUCCAUCCCACCCAUCCAGAGCAACAUCCAGCCCUCCUCAUCUACCACAGAGCAGAACAGAGAGAUGAGUCCGUGUCAACUCUGGCUGUAUGGAGGCAAAGCAGGCAGUGACUGUGUUGUGAGAACUUUGCCAUUAGGAUUUAGAGCAACGACGCCAGGAAAUGAACUGAGGAAACUGAAGCUUAAAAAUGUUAAACAACCUGCCCAAACCAAUCCAGUUGUUGAAGAGGAAAACAAACAUACCUCAAAUACUGCUGUCAGCAUGGUCAUUUGGAAACCAGCAUGCCUAUUGGGAUUCAACAAGCAUUUAUUGAGCACCUACUAGGUGCUAGAGC
rnacentral:lncRNA from 1 species